rnacentral:tRNA from 1 species
CAUUAUGAAGCUUAAAGCGUUAACCUUUUAAGUUAAAGAUAGUGAAUCUUAAUUCACCAUAAUGA